rnacentral:sRNA from 1 species
GGGUUACAGAAAUGUGAUGGAGAAUUGCAGAGAGAAUAUGAUCGUCCUAAGGGAAGGACUUGAGAAGACAGAAAGGUUCAACAUCGUCUCAAAGGACGAGGGAGUGCCACU